rnacentral:lncRNA from 1 species
UUUCAGAGAAAAUAUAAAGCAUGGAAGGCUUUAAGUUGUACUAUUGAGACCAUACCACCAUAUCUUGAUUUAGUUUCUUUGGAAAUCUAAAGGUCUAAGAGGAUGGUACAUGUGAGAAGCUGUGAAUCCACAACAAAAAUCUAAACUAACUUCCAAACAAACAUUUCAAGUUUGGAAGCCACAAAGAAGCAGCCCAAAUUUCUCGUUGUAGUGCAGGUUCAAGAAAAUGGGCUGAAUGACCAUCAUAGCAACAUGUAGAAGCAGCAAAAAUAUAGGCUUGGUGUGUAACUGAUCAUGAAAGAUAGCUUGGUCAGUUUCUCCAUUGUUGGCUUAUAUUGAGCAAGAACAUCAGCCUGCAGAGAAGAAAAAUGGAGGACUGCUUUAUUCUGCGGUACAUCCACAAUAGUAUAGCAAAUAAAGUAGUUAAAUGUGCGCUAAGAUGUAAGACCUUUUAGAUCACUAUUUUAGUGAUCUAAAAGGUCUUGUAUUAGUUUGAAGAGGGAGCACUUAAUAAGACUGUAGGCCAGUACAUCAAAGUAAUGCCGGCUUCCCAUUGAUUUGAUCAAACCAAUAUGACAAAGGGAAGGUGAAACUUCAGAAAACCAUAUAAAUUGACCACAAUGUCUUAAUUUAAAACUCUGAAAUGAAGUAAUAAACAUUAAGUCUGAAUGUUGUCACUAAAAAAGCAUAAAAAAGGCAGACCAGCCAGGAGUGCAUCAUAACCAGUGGUUCAUCAUGCGCAAACCAGGCAGCAGUAGCCUAAUAACUUAGACAGAAAAAAUGUAAGAAGUCAAAGCACAAGGUGGGAAAUAGGACCGAGCAUUGACAGGUAACCAAAUAAUAAAGGAAUAUCCCCAUGAAAAUCAAGAACAGUAAAUUAGCAUCCAGAAGUACAUAGAAACAAACAUUCCGCUUGGCAGAGUGUGAUCUCAGUAUGAUGUCAAUAGCUGGGACUAAGAAGGUAACCACGUAGAGUGUCACACCUAAGGGCGUUUUCUUACGUCUCUACUCUCUAGUAAUACAACUCACUAUUGAUUGAUUUAACUAAGGUAUUCUUCAGUUGGGUAUUUAUAAAGGAAAUUCACUAUGUUUUUUUACCAGCGAGUAGAGAGCAACUGAAAGACUUAUGUUUUUAAAUGCAAGAACAAACCUCACCAGGCUGCUGUGCAGACUUAUUGUCAGUGGAAGAUGCUACAGCUGAGCAAAAUUGGAUUGGGAUUUCUUCUAUGCCUGCUGCUCCCUCCUACAGCAAUUAUUUAGAACAACAAACCAAUUUACUGUGAGAUGAGAGAAGGCACACUAAAGAAGCACAUCUGUAAGUGUAUAUCUAAUAAUAUAGAUGCUACAAAUCAAUAGAACUAAAAUACUCCAGCAGUUGGGAUCAGCUAGAUCUAUGUCUACAUCACCAAAUCAGAAGUUCAGUUACCUGUGGUUCGCUUGAUAGUAGUUGCAGGUUUUCAUGCGCUGAACUCAAGAACCGACCAGCAGCGACCAAAUCUAAGCACAACCAUCCCUCACAAUUUGAAUUCUACCCCAGCAAGUACAGACACGUCCUCUGCAACCUCACACAGAUACGAAAGCGUCAUAAAGCACACCGCACUACGCCGCCACCACGACCUCCAAAACAUGUAUAACGACUGAAAUAAGCGGAC